UACGGGGGGGGCAAGCGUUGUUCGGAAUUACUGGGCGUAAAGGGCUCGUAGGCGGCCAACUAAGUCUGAUGUGAAAUCCCCGGGCUCAACCUGGGAAUGGCAUUGGAUACUGGCAGGCUAGAGUGCGGUAGAGGGUGGUGGAAUUCCCGGUGUAGCAGUGAAAUGCGUAGAGAUCGGGAGGAACAUCUGUGGCGAAGGCGGCCACCUGGACCAGCACUGACACUGAGGCACGAAAGCGUGGGGAGCAAACAGG
rnacentral:rRNA from 1 species